UCUUAACAGGAAAGGGUGGAGACAUCAAAGAUUGGAGACGUCGUCGCUUUGUAGCUUGGCAUCUAGCCAGCCAAUUCAUUUUUUCUUUGUAACUGCAAAUGUGCCCAGUAAUUUGAUGAGAAAUCUGAAAACCAGACUGCCAUCUUCAUUUGCCCUUAUUCUCUAGUCUGUAGACACAUCUUCUAUGGCAACUGAGAAAUAGAUUUUCGAUCAACUACAAAGUUCAUGAAUCGUUGUUCAGGAAAUGGAAAACGUUUCGCCUACACAUGGGGUAGGUUUGCAGCGUAGGAGUUGAGCCUUCUGCUUUCUACAUGCGUUUCUGAAGCGUGGUAAAUUUGUUUGACUUUGAUGACAUCGAAACGUUGUCUAAACGUGCCGUUAAGUGUACGUGUUUAUAUAAAUGGUAGAAAAUGGUAAAAAUGAUUCUGAAA